rnacentral:rRNA from 1 species
CGGAGGGUCCGAGCGUUAAUCGGAAUUACUGGGCGUAAAGCGUGCGCAGGCGGUUUGUUAAGCGAGAUGUGAAAGCCCUGGGCUCAACCUAGGAAUAGCAUUUCGAACUGGCGAACUAGAGUCUUGUAGAGGGGGUAGAAUUCCAGGUGUAGCGGUGAAAUGCGUAGAGAUCUGGAGGAAUACCGGUGGCGAAGGCGGCCCCUGGACAAAGACUGACGCUCAUGCACGAAAGCGUGGGGAGCAAACAGGAUU